CCCUGCAGGAAUCAAACAAGAAACAUGAGUACAAGAGUCCUUUUGUCCCAAACUAAACACCAAGCAACAUUAAUUAUAAGGUACUACAAGAUCAUGAAAAGCAAGAUAUGUUGCAUAUGGAAACAAAAGGGAAAUCAGCUCUUUUAAUAACCAUGAGUACACUCUCACAACCAACAAAAAUGCCCCUGCAAGAGGACCAAGAGUUGCAGAUUUUGCAGUUACCAAAUCAGCCAAUAAAGGGCAGCCAAAGGACCCUUUUCUCUACACUAACAGCAACCCAGCAGGCUUUCGGUUACAACCAUCCUACAUAUACUCCAUGCCUUCGGUUCCACUCACUCCCAAUCACAUUAUUCACUAAACUAAAAAGCAAGUUGGAGAAGUAAGGGAAGCUAAGGUUUCUGGGCUGAUUUCAAAGACAACUGCAGUUUCAGCAGGAACGUCGUCGCUCGACGCGUAAUCUCAGGGCAGGAAAGCACCCGUUUUUGCAAGAGUUUAAGCAAUUGAGAUCACUCGGAAAUGGUUGACACACGCAAAUCGUCGACCGAAGGUGAAGGACGCCUAUUACGUUCUGGCCGUACGUCUGGUUCAGAUUUCAAAGCACAAUACUUUAGCCGCCGAUUUUAAUGGUUGACACAAGAAAAUCGUCGAUGGAAGCAAAGCGGAGGAAGGUCAACGUAGGCAUCAAAUAUACUCGUAGGUCAGUAGCUAAAUCAUAGCUGGUGGAUAAUUCAAAACACAAGAAAAGUUCGUUUGAUGUUCAGUACUCCAAGCCAAAUCCCUAUGCCAGAAGGUAAAAAGAAAUUUAUGACCUAGUCCUAAUUCAUGGGAUGAAGUUAACUGUGUUGUAUGAAUUUUAUUAACUGUGUUAUAUGCAUAUUUUGUGAAGAAAUAACAGUUGAAUGAAGAAAUAACAGUUGA